UUUUUUUUUUCCCCCCCUUCAAAUAGCCUUAUCCAUAUUCCCUUUUUAAGUGCUUUUAUUUAUUACUCCAUUUUCAAAUUUCAAAUUUGGAAAUUUUAGAACCUCUAUUUAAAAUCCAACUUCCCCACUCCUCCUCUUCACAGAUCUAAAUCUCAAUAAUAAUCUCUCUCAUCAAUUCUAGAAUUUUCUUCUUCCUUAUUCUUCAAUGGCGGUUCGAACUGUAUACGGUUUAAUUUUCUUAACAGCAUCUAGUUCUUGCUUUAUCUUCCUAUACCUCCUUCUUCAACCUAUUUUCUACUUCACCGCUUAAUAAGCCGAUCUGAACCGGCCGGUCUGAACCGCCCGAAGAUCAGUCGAUGAACCGGAAGUUUUUACUCGGCGGUCGGUUCGUAGAGGAUUGAAAGUAUGUUAAAUUGUACUUAUACGUUACUUUAUUUUGGAUUUGAAUGAAAAAGUUACACGGCGAUUUGGCCUUUCGUUUUAUUGUUUGGUUUUUGUUUUAAUGGAUCUGGAUUUGUUUUGGAAAAAAUAGCUUUAAUUUGUUUUAUUAAUCAUAGAUUAUUGUCUUAUUUCAUAGCUCUAAUUGUCUAAUUGCAAAGCAAUUAGCUUUAUUCAAUCACUUUUAUUUGUUAGGUUUCUAUUCAUACGAGUUAAUUUGGCUAAUUUUUUUGAGAUAAAUUAAAUUAGAUUAAUUUAAUAUUUUUAAUUUUAAAUCUUUAAAAAUUAUAAGAAAAUAACUAUGAUGAAAAAUACAUCUUAAAAUACGGAUUAAAAUGCAUAGUUAAAGUUAAAGUGAAACGGGUUACUUUACCAUGUUGAAUUUGCUAGAACAAGUUGAUUCAUAAUUUCCUUAAUAAAAGGCUUGCAAAUUUGUGCAAAUCUGUGACAAAAUAUUAUUUUGCUACUUCCUCUAGUCUAAUUUAAGUUUCAUAAUUGAAAUUUGAUAUUUAAACAUCUAAACUUAGAUCGAUAUUCAAAAACUACAUACAAAGUACUAUUCAAUCACAAUUAUUAGCAAGUAUCUAGAGCCAUGUAAAAGGUAUUGGUUAAUUUUCGAAAUUUUAAUUGUGAUAUGUAAAUUAAGAUAAAAGAAGUACCUUUAUUCGUUUUUUAUUAUGAUUAAUAAGAUAAGGAUAAAAAUUGUACAAGAUAAGGAUAAAAAUUGUACGCACUUCGAUUCCGGAAGAACUUUUGAAAUUUUCGAACUUGUUCUUGUGUAUUAAAAUUUUGGCAUUGUAUUGGUUCAAAUGGAACUCGUGAAUGUGAUACCGGUCACGGUUUUGAAAGUGUUUACACGUAAGGUGUUUUGAAAGUGUUUACAGGUAAGGUUAAAGUUUUUGGAAGCGUUUACACAUAAUAGAAUUUCUUUAGAGAAUAUAAGGCAUUUAUGAUCGGAUCUAAGUUUUGAAAGAGGGUUUACGUGAUAGAAUCUCUUCAGAAAAUAAGAGUGUUUACGUGAUAGAAUCUCUUCAGAAAAUAUCAGGCUUUUAUGAAGCGGAUCUUGAGCUGCCAUCCAAGAUCAACAUUGCAGUCAUUCAUAAAAGCAAUUGAAAUUGAAACAUAUUAAUACAAUAAAAACUUACACGCAUUCGUACAUUAAAUUAAUAUUUUUUAUCAUGAUUAAGUAAUUAAAUUAAAUAAAAUAUAUGUUAAUUAAUUAUAAUUAAGUAAUAUAAACUCUAAAUUUGAACAUAUAAUACACAUGUAUUGACUUGAUGCAUAUAUUGGAUGCGUUAAUUUUUAACCUAUAAUACCUAUGAGAACUCUUACUACUACUAUCGUUCUAUUCCAAGGAUAUGUAUUUUCGGAUACAAUUUGAACAACAAAAGAUGAUCUCACAAAAUUGUGUUAUUUUUAUUUCAUGUUAAAGUGUUUAUUCAUGAUUUUAUUUAAUUAAUUUAUAAUUUGAAUAGAAGAAAAUGAUUAGAAUUCUUGGUCAAUGAAACUCUUUUCGAGUACAAUUACAUGGAUCUAGUGAGUUUCACAAAUUUAAGUAUAUUACAUAUGGGGAUUAAGGAAGGGAACGUGAAGAAUGUAUCUUGGGUCUAACUCAACUUCUUCAGGAAGAUUGUCCAAUUUCAUAUAAUGAAACUAAUAAUAACCCAUUUCUUUUAUGAUGUGGGAUUCUUAACAUGCGUCACACGUCCGGAUCUUGUUAACUGAAGUGUGAACAAUAUAAUAUGCAUAUCCAAUAUCAGUAAAUAAAAAAUUGGGAUGGACCUAAUUUUGAUACCAUUUAGGGAUCGUCUGAUAGAGUAUAUAAGAAUAAUGUAAAAGAUUAAUGCAAAAGUUUGUGUAUUGUUAAUGCUUGUAUAAGUAAUGCUUGUAUUUUCUCAUGUAGUGUUUGAUUUGAUAUAUUAAAAAUAAUAUGAAUUAUAUAAUUUCUAAAAAUAAUAUAUAUAUAUAUUGAAAAGAAUACGAAAUUUUUUUUGAGAAAUAAUUGUGUCUUUAAUCAUUCUAAUAUAUGCAUUAGAUCCAUUGCAUUACAAAUGUUAUAGAUUUUGGGGUAUUAAUAAUACACAUCUCAAUAUACAAUACAGUGUAUAACUAAUGGCUUGCAUUAGUUAUAUAAAGGCUAAAAAAUAUACUAAAUAAGGUACUAAUAAUACACAAGACUAAUACACACAUUAAUCUUUUUAAUACAUUCUACCAAAAUUUAUAUAAUGAGAUUAAUUAUCCAUCCGUUUUUCGAACGUGGGAUUUUCAAUGGGGAACGCAAUGGGGUGGAUGAAUACAAUAUCAUUAAUGACUAAGCCAUAAGCAAUAACUAUUUUGGUUUCAUAUUCGAUUUCUCUCCACUAACAUUUUUGACUAAAUUUCAAUUCACGCAAAAAAAAAUUAUAUUGAGGGUAAAGGAUAUUUCCUAAUAAAAAUGCCUCAAUUCUUGAAGUUUGAAAUUUGAAUCGAAGUUUCUAAUUAAAGUGCUUCUUUCUCAAAAUAAUUUUCAAACUUCAACCAAUCAUAGUAUACAUCAUACUAAAACUUAUUAGACAUUAUAUACAUCAUACACUUAUUUGACUCAGUACAUCAUAGUGAGACUUUACUUUUGAACAACAAAAAUCAAUUAAUACUCACAGUUGUGAAUUUGAGGGUUGGAGGCUUUACUUUAGAUUUAUACUCCCUUAGUUCACUUUUAACCGUGAUAUUUAUUUCGUAAAAAUUAAUAUAACUAAUCUUUUAAAUUAAUUUAUUGUUUUUAAAAUUUUAUUCACUUUUAACUAUCACAUUUGUUUCGUAAAAACUAAUAUAACUAAUCUGUUGAAUUAAUUUAUUAUUUUAAAAUUUAACUUUAGAUGGUCAAAAAUUGCACAUACAAUUACUGUAAGUUGCAAUCUAUCUCGAAUUCAUAUGAUGAAAAAUAAAUUUUUAAAUAUCGAUCAAAAUUCAUAUACAGUUAAACAUUAGAUAAGCUAAACUAACCAGUAAAAGUGAAAUGGAGUACUUUACAAAGUUGAAUUGCAUGAACAGUGUGAUUCAUUAUUUCUAUAAUACAAAACAAUUUAAAUGCUUGCGAACUCGUGUCAACAUAUUAUUUUGUAUUUCCUCUAUUCUAAUUUAUAUGUCACAAUUGAAGUUUUUAGAUUCAAACCUCUUAACUUAGAUUGAUAUACAAAAUUACAACAAAGUAUUAUUCUAUAAAACACAAAUGAUUAACGAAAUUUUAAUUGUCAUGCAAAUUGGGACGAAUGAAGUACCAAUUAUUCGCUUUUGAUUAUGAUCUUCGAUCCAAAAUUGUAGCAGACCUUUUGAAAUUUUCAAAUUUGUUCUGAUGUAAAAUUUUAUCCAGAUAUAUUUGUAUUGAUUCAAAAUGGAACUUGUGAAUGUGAUAUUUGAAUAAUAAAGUGAUCCAUACAUUUGAUCACGAUCAAUUAAGGUUAAAGUUUUGGAAGCAUUUACACGUAAGAUUAAAGUUUUGGAAGUGUUGCCAUGUGGUAGAAUUUCUUUAGAAAGUAUAAGGCUUUUAUUAGACAGAUUUAAGUUUUGAAAGUAUUUCCAUGUGGUAGAAUUUCUUAAGAAAAUAUAAGGCUUUUAUGAGAAGAAUCUUACUUACUUUUUCGACUUUUUGAAUCAAAUUCAGAUAAGAAUUUUUUUAUCAUAAAUGUCACAAUUACUAGUAUUAAUAUUUUUAUAGUCUGUCUCUGUAAGAUAAGAGUGGAAUCUAUCCUUUAUUUUGUCCUUUUUAUUCACUCGAAUUUUUUUUUUGUUUCAUCGAUUUUGUUCGGAUCCCACCUUCUUCCGAAAAAAGGAAAGGAGAAGGAUAAGGAACAUUCUUCAGUGGAUCUCUCUUGUUCCCUUUUAGUCCCCUUCAUUUUCCUCUCUUUCUUCUAUUUUUUAGGCUUCUUUCAGUUUUUUAGUAAAAAUGAGGGUAUUCUGACUAAAUAGUAAACACAGAUAAUAAAUAAGAAAAUAUUAAAGAUCUGAGCCAUAAAAUUUCUCAAUUCUAACACAAGAUACUUAUUAGAUCUCUUUAGAAAAUAUAAGGCUUUUAUGAGGUGGAUCUUGGGCCACCAUCCAAGAUCAACACUGCAGUCAUUCAUAAAACCAGUUCAAAUUGAAACAUAUAAGUAUCUAUGAGAACUCUUACAAAAUUGUGUUAUUUUUAUCUCGUGUUAAAGUUUAUAUUUAUGAUUUUAUAUAAUCAAAUUAUAAUUUGAAUAGAAGAAGAUGAUUAGAAUUCUUGGUUAAUGAAACUCUGUUCAAGUACAGUUAUAUGUAUCGUAAAUCUUAAGUCUAACUUAAUCCCAAAAGAUAACUCAUGAGGUCAGAAUUAUCCAAGUUCAUAUAUUGUGACCAUUUACCAUUCAUUUUUUGAUAUGGGACCCUUAAUAACAGAGAAAACCAAGAGUACAUGAAUUCGAUAUCAUUAAUGACAAAGAUAUACUAUUUUGGUUUCACAUUUGGUUUCUCUGCAUUAGUACUUUUAACAAUUUUAAUUCAAGUAGAAAAGUUUUAUAUCAAGAGUAAAGGGUGUUUUUUAAUAAAAAUUUCUCCAUACGUGGAGCUUGGAUCGAAAUCUUUAGUUAAAAGAUAAGCAAGAAGUCAUCUACAUAUGAGCUUUUUCCUCAAAAUAAGUAGAUAUAUUGUAUACUAUUAUAAAAUAUUAUAGUUAUUGUGGAUGUCCAUUACUUCAAGAAUUUACUCAUCCACUACUCCAUACACCAUUACCGGGUGUAACUCUUACACCUUUUAACCUCCCCAUAACUUUCAUGGUUAAUGUUAUGUUUACACAACCUUUCAUAUACCUAUCUAUAAUAUUAUAAAUAGAGACAUAAAAAAUUGUAUUGGAUACAUUUAAAACACUUGUACUUUUGAUAUUUGGAAGAAUGAAAAACUCUCAUCUCUUGUCUUCUCUCAAUAAUUUUUGUCUACUUUAUUGUUCAUAAUAUUCAUCCUUUGAUUUAGUUUUAAAAUACGUCAGCACGAAACUCAAGAUAUUAAAAGUAAGGAUAUAUUAUGUAGAAAAAUACCUACUGGCAAAAGGUGUGAAUUUGUGGUUAUUUUUGGUAAUUCUUAAAGGCAUUAUCCUUCUCUGUUUAUAUUAUCUUUUAGAGUUUGGUAUAGCCUUUAAGCAGGCCGUAAAUAUCACAGGUCAAAAUCUUCAUCCUUUAUUGUAACUAUGCCUAAUAUUGUUAAUUUAAUUUAUACUCUUUCAUAUUAAUUGAUGUUGAUAGUCUAGCCACAUCUAAUGUUCAGUAUAUUUGAUUUUCUUUGCAACCAUUCUUAUAUCUACUUGUCAAGAGUUAUGUGAAUGUUGUGCACAUAACAUAAAUAAAUGGUGUAGAGACUAUAUUGACACGAACAGUGCACAUCUUCAUUUUGUUUGAACAAAAUGUGAUGAAUCAUGCAGUGACAGGAUAUAGGUAGUAUAUUUUAUAUUAUCACCUGAUUACUUUGAUAGAAGACUUUUGAGUCUUUUACUCUUUCUUGAUUUAAAUUUGAAUUUGGUGUAAAAAAAAAUGUGAUUUUGAUAAUUAUAUUUUCUGUUCCACAAAAAUUAUUUAACUAUUUUGUUUUUGGUAAAGGAACAACUUACAAUGGAGC
rnacentral:lncRNA from 1 species